rnacentral:rRNA from 1 species
UGGGGAAUAUUGGACAAUGGGCGCAAGCCUGAUCCAGCAAUGCCGCGUGUGUGAAGAAGGCCUUCGGGUUGUAAAGCACUUUUAUCAGGAGCGAAACGCUGUCGGCUAAUACCCGGCGGAACUGACGGUACCUGAGGAAUAAGCACCGGCUAACUUCGUGCCAGCAGCCGCGGUAAUACGAAGGGUGCAAGCGUUAAUCGGAAUUACUGGGCGUAAAAGCGUGCGUAGGCGGUUUCUUAAGUCUGCUGUGAAAUCCCCGGGCUCAACCUGGGAAUGGCAGUGGAUACUGGGAGGCUAGAGUGUGUCAGAGGGUGGUGGAAUUCCCGGUGUAGCGGUGAAAUGCGUAGAGAUCGGGAGGAACAUCAGUGGCGAAGGCGGCCACCUGGGACAACACUGACGCUGAGGCACGAAAGCGUGGGGAGCAAACAGGAUUAGAUACCCUGGUAGUCCACGCCCUAAAAGCGAUGCGAACUGGAUGUUGGUCUCAACUCGGAGAUCAGUGUCGAAGCUAACGCGUUAAGUUCGCCGCCUGGGGAGUACGGUCGCAAGACUGAAACUCAAAUGAAUUGACGGGGUCAUAGCUGUUUCCUG